AACGAACGCUGGCGGCAUGCCUAACACAUGCAAGUCGAACGAGACCUUCGGGUCUAGUGGCGCACGGGUGCGUAACGCGUGGGAACCUGCCCUUAGGUUCGGAAUAACUCCCCGAAAGGGGUGCUAAUACCGGAUAAUGUCUUCGGACCAAAGAUUUAUCGCCUUUGGAUGGGCCCGCGUUGGAUUAGCUAGUUGGUAGGGUAAAAGCCUACCAAGGCGACGAUCCAUAGCUGGUCUGAGAGGAUGAUCAGCCACACUGGGACUGAGACACGGCCCAGACUACUACGGGAGGCAGCAGUGGGGAAUAUUGGACAAGGGGCGAAAGGCUGAUCCAGCAAUGCCGCGUGAGUGAUGAAGGCCUGAGGGUUGUAAAGCUAUUUUACCCGGGAUGAUAAUGACAGUACCGGGAGAAUAAGCUCCGGCUAACUCCGUG
rnacentral:rRNA from 1 species